rnacentral:rRNA from 1 species
GACGAACGCUGGCGGCGUGCUUAACACAUGCAAGUCGAACGGAAAGGCCCUGCUUUUGUGGGGUGCUCGAGUGGCGAACGGGUGAGUAACACGUGAGUAACCUGCCCUUGACUUUGGGAUAACUUCAGGAAACUGGGGCUAAUACCGGAUAGGAGCUCCUGCUGCAUGGUGGGGGUUGGAAAGUUUCGGCGGUUGGGGUUGGACUCGCGGCUUAUCAGCUUGUUGGUGGGGUAGUGGCUUACCAAGGCUUUGACGGGUAGCCGGCCUGGGAGGGUGACCGGCCACAUUGGGACUGAGAUACGGCCCAGACUCCUACGGGAGGCAGCAGUGGGGAAUAUUGCACAAUGGGCGGAAGCCUGAUGCAGCAACGCCGCGUGCGGGAUGACGGCCUUCGGGUUGUAAACCGCUUUCGCCUGUGACGAAGCGUGAGUGACGGUAAUGAGUAAAGAAGCACCGGCUAACUACGUG